ensembl:lncRNA
GUUCGGAUUGAUUUGCCAUAUAGAAGGCAUCUGUCUAUUUGAGCUCGUCAGUUUGUGUUGGUAAUCCUCCCGAACGCAGGAUUUUUCAAAUGUAAUUGUGUAGUGGGGCUGCGCCCACCCCUCUCCUCAGUCUCAUCGAUGGUCAACCAGCUUACACGGUGACACCUCACCUCACCUCACCUCCUGAAGGUUCGACCUCGGGGCAGGGGGUUGACUGGGAUGGUUAUGGCCUGGAGGAGAGGUGCUGGGUCCCCUGCCAGGGACAUCCUGGACCCAGGCUUCAUCGUAGAAUUUCAACGCAGACACCCCGGUCAACCAGAUAUGCACUCAGUACCAUAUUUGUCGUGGUUCAUUUCCCAAAUGAAGAUGACAGUUUAGCUGUCAUCUCAGAAACCUGGUGCAUCAAGGACAAAUGUUAUUUUGGCCUCUAUACAAGAGAGGUUAAGGAAAGCAGUGAUCUUGCAUGAACAGCCGAACAUUGACACUUGGGAGGUGUAUUCAAUUCAAUUACUGAAGACAAAGAAUUCAUAUGAGAAAGCCCAUGAGUGCCUUGUUUCGGGCAGAAAAAGGCUCAAGCCUGGGAACGGUGCCAGAGUCUCAC